rnacentral:rRNA from 1 species
UACAGAGGUCUCAAGCGUUGUUCGGAUUCAUUGGGCGUAAAGGGUGCGUAGGCGGCCAACUAAGUCCGACGUGAAAUCCCCAGGCUUAACCUGGGAACUGCGUCGGAUACUGGAUGGCUUGAAUCCGGGAGAGGGAUGCGGAAUUCCAGGUGUAGCGGUGAAAUGCGUAGAUAUCUGGAGGAACACCGGUGGCGAAGGCGGCAUCCUGGACCGGCAUUGACGCUGAUGAGCGAAAGCCAGGGGGAGCAAAACGGGG